rnacentral:lncRNA from 1 species
GGACAGUCUUGAACUCAUCGGCACAGGAAAUGACUUUCUGAACAGAACACCAUUAAAACAGGCACUCAGAACAAUUAAUAAGUGGGACCUCAUAAAACUGAAAAUCUGUAAAGCAAAGGAUAUCAUCAUUUGGACAAAUUGGCAGCCUAUAGAAUGAAACUACAUGCCCCAUACAAGGCUAAUAUCCAAAAUCCAUAAAAAAUUUAAAAACUAGAUAUCAAGAAAACAAAUAACCCAAUUAAAAAUGGGGUACAGAUCUAAAAGGGGAAUUCUCAAUAGAGAAAACUCAAAUGGCUGAGGAGCACUUAAAGAAAUGUUUGGCAUCCCUAGUCAUCAGGGAAAUGCAAAUCAAAACUUCUUUGAGAUUUCAUCUUAAACCUGUCAGAAUGGCCGAGAUCAGCAAAACAAGCGACAGCUCUGGCUGGUGAGGAUGUGGAGUAAGAGUUUGCUGUGGGAGAGCAAACGCUGUGAAAAUCGGUGUGGAUGUUCCUCGGGAAGACAGGGAUCAAUCUACCUCAAGAUCCAGUUAUACCACUCUUGGAAAUAUACCCAAAGGAUACUUCAUCCUACCACAGAGACACUUGCUCAGCCACGUUCACUCUCUACAUAAUAGCAAGAACUGGAAACAACCUAUCUAUCCCUCAAUGGAAAAGUGGAUAAAGAAACUGGUGCAUUUACACGAUGGAGUAUUAUUUAGUCCUUAAAAAAUAUAACACCAUGAAAUUUGCAAGCAAAUGAAUGCAGAGACACAUGUUCACACACUGAAGAAUUCCCCCACAAAACUGGAAGCUAUACCCAAAAGAUAAAAUUAAAAAAAAAAACAACAACCCUGACUUAACAUUACGAGACAGUGAACCUCCCAAGAUGUCCUUGAGAUCAUUUUGUGUUGGCCAUCUCUAUUGGGCAUGGGGUCUAUCCUUAAGAGUAGUUUAUUUCCCCAGUGAGACUUCUUUGGAGAAAACAAGGGGAAAAAACCUAAUUUUGAUUUGCAAGUGGCUAACAAUGAUGGUUUCUGGGUUAGGGCUGGGGGCAUGUGUAUUUUUUCCUUUCAGCUCUAGGGACAGCAUCUGCUAAAGAUCCUUGCAGGCCCUGUGCAUGCUGCCACAGACACUGUGGCUUCAUGUAUGUGACAGCCCUGAUGAGCAGCUCUUAAUUUCUUGGUGUCCUCUUUUCCAGCCCCUCUUACAUUCUCUCUGCCACCUACCUCUUCCUUGGGGUUUCCUGAGCUCUGAGAGGUGGGAUUUGAUAGAGACCAUUUAGGGAUGAGUGGCCCAAGGCCUUUACUCUCUGUGUAUUAUCUGGCUGCGGGUCUCAUGUUUAUCCCCAUCUGCUCUAAGAGGAAGCUUCUCUGAAGAUGGCUGAGCAAGGCAUGGGUAUAUGAAUAUAGCAGAAUGGUGUUAGGAGUCAUCUUAGUGCUAUAGUCCUUUAGCAGGACAGUAGUGUUUCGUUUGCUCCUAGGUUCCUGGACUAUUUAGUUUUGCUAGUCAUCUAAGAAGUAGUGUUGGAUUUGGUUUUCAUCUCAUGGAGUGGGCUUUAACUCAAUUCAGAUAUUUGUUGGUUAUUCCUACAAGUUUGUACCAUUAUGGCACCAGAAUACCUUGUGGGUAGGUCACUACUGUAGAUCAAAGAGUUUCUAAUUGGGUUUGUGUUUCUCUUUCUCUUUCUGUAGUGCACAGAGUACUUCCAGUAUCGUGAACACUAUUUCAUAGGGGUGAAGGCUCUAAGUGGUAUCAGCUUGACAUCUUCAUGUUUAAUGAGUGGUGUGCUGUUUUCUUUAUCGAUAGGGACUUACUGUCAGUUAGUGGAGAGCAAUCAAUAGCCUGAGUUGUUUGAGGGUUCCCAUGAAACCUCUUUGGCUAAGAAUGCAAUUGAAUGUAACCCAUUCCCAGUGCUAGAAGCUUCAUUUGGUGACAAGAUAUGUCCAGUUGGGAUUCUCUCUCUCUCUCUCUCUCUCUCUCUCUCUCUCUCUCUCUCUCUCACACACACACACACACACACACACACACACACACUCUGUUACUUGAUUUCAUUUAGAUCAUCUUCAUGUAUAUAUUUUAGGAAGCUUCUAAUGAAUUAGGUUUCCAUAUGACCCCUCAAAUGGUCCUCAGUUUGGUCUGUCCCUCCCUGUAUUUCCUUCCAUUGCCCCUUUCUGCCUCUCACUCUGCCUCCCCCAUUCCAGUACUACUCCAUCCAUCCAUAACUAUCUACUCUAUUUCCCCUUCCUAGGGAGAUCCAUCCUUCCUGCCUAGUUCCUUACUCUCUCCCUGACCUCCAUAGUUAUAUGGAUUGUUGCUUGCUUAUCAAAACUUUCUUCCUGGGUCUGAGUUAUCUCACUCAGGAUAAUUUUUUUUCUUAUUCCAUCUAUCUAUCUGUGAACUUCAUGAUUUUAUUUUUUAAUGGCUGAGUAACAUUCCAUUGUGUAAAUGUACCACAUUUUCUUUAUUCAUUCAUUCAUUCAUUCAUUGAUGACAUGUAGGUUGUUUCCCAUUUCUGACUAUCAUGAGCAGAGAGGCGGUGAACAUGGUUGAACUAAUACCUCCAUAGUAGGAUGAAGCAUCCUUUGGGUAUAUGCUCAAGAGUGCUAUAGCUGAAUCUUGAGGUAGACUGAGUCCCAUCUUCCUGAGAAACCAUCAUACCACCAUACACAUUUCCGUACUGGCUGUACAAGUUUGCAUUCCCAUCAACAACAAUAUAUGGAUGUUACCUCCUCAACCUGAUUUGUCAUUUAUUUUUAUUGAUCUUGGUUGUUCUGGUUUAUAUAAGAUGAAACCUCAAAAUGGUUUUGAUUUGUAUUUCCCUGGUGACUAAGGAUGUUGAACAUGUCUUUAAGUGCUUCUCAGCCAUUUGACUUCCCUCUUUUGAGAAUUCUCUGUUUAGAUUUUUUUUUUUAAGAUCUAUGCUGCCUCUUUGUCCUAAUGACAGUGUCCUUUACUGUGUAGAAGCUGUUUGGUUUCAUGGGGUCUCACUUAUUAGUUCUUAGUCUUAAUACCUGUGCUAAUGGUAUUCUGAUCAGAAAGGCUUUUCCUAUGCCAGUGGGUUCAAGGAUAUUCCCCACUUUCUCUAUCAGAUUCAGUGUAUCUGGCCUUAUGUGGAGGCCCUGGAUACAUCUGGAGUUGAGUUUUGUCCGGGGUGAUAAGUAUGAAUCUAUUUGCACUGCCACAUGCCCCUGCCCAGUUUGACCAGCACCAUUUUUUGAAGAGGCUGUCUGUUUUCCAGUGUGAAUUUCUGGCUUCUUUAUU